GCAUCAGCUAGUGUAGCCAUUUCUACUUCUUAAAGAUCUAAAGAUUGAUAAAUAGUAGAAUACCAAAAGUGAGGACCUCCUAAUUUCAUAGUAGGAUUUAACAUAGCAGACACACCAAAUAUAGAAGGGAUUGGAAAAAAAUAUUUUUUAAACUUCUUUUUCAUUUCAGUUAUUGCAAUUUCAUAAAUUUCCCCUACCUCGUUAAAAUCAACAAACAAAUUAGCAAGUGUGGCAAUAUAAACUAAACAGUUAGAAAUAGUUGGAUAAUAUUGGCCAGAUAAAGCAUUUAUAGCCACAUGAAAAU
rnacentral:lncRNA from 1 species